UACGUAGGGGGCUAGCGUUGUUCGGAUUCAUUGGGCGUAAAGGGUGCGUAGGCGGCGCGGUAAGUCGGGUGUGAAAUCUUGGAGCUUAACUCCGAAACUGCAUUCGAUACUGCCGUGCUUGAGGACUGGAAAGGAGACAUGGAAUUUACGGUGUAGCGGUGAAAUGCGUAGAUAAUCGUAAGGAAGACCAGUGGCGAAGGCGGGUCUCUGGACAGUUCCUGACGCUGAGGUGCGAAAGCGUGGGGAGCAAACAGG
rnacentral:rRNA from 1 species